AUUGAACGCUGGCGGCAGGCCUGACACAUGCAAGUCGAACGGCAGCACAGAAGGGCUUGCUCUUUGGGUGGCGAGUGGCGGACGGGUGAGUAAUGUCUGGGAAACUGCCCGAUGGAGGGGGAUAACUACUGGAAACGGUAGCUAAUACCGCAUAACGUCGCAAGACCAAAGUGGGGGACCUUCGGGCCUCACACCAUCGGAUGUGCCCAGAUGGGAUUAGCUAGUAGGUGGGGUAAUGGCUCACCUAGGCGACGAUCCCUAGCUGGUCUGAGAGGAUGACCAGCCACACUGGAACUGAGACACGGUCCAGACUCCUACGGGAGGCAGCAGUGGGGAAUAUUGCACAAUGGGCGCAAGCCUGAUGCAGCCAUGCCGCGUGUAUGAAGAAGGCCUUCGGGUUGUAAAGUACUUUCAGCGGGGAGGAAGGCGGUGAGGUUAAUAACCUUGCCGAUUGACGUUACCCGCAGAAGAAGCACCGGCUAACUCCGUGCCAGCAGCCGCAGUAA
rnacentral:rRNA from 1 species